AACCGGAUUGUCCACCCUAAAACUGCUGAACUGCUGCUUUCAGGUCACAGGUUACCCUGAGGCAUGUGUAAGUAGCCUCCUGAAGUGGACCAAAGCAAAACAGAGCCCCAAAACAGGGAAGAAAACUUCAGCCCAAGAUCUGGAUUCCAGCAAAUGUAAAACAAAGCACUUGAACAUUUUUGUUUUUGUUCAGAACAGCUGUGUUUAUAAAAAUAUGAAUUUAUUUAUUUAAUUAUCUAUGUAUUUUC